rnacentral:rRNA from 1 species
UACGGAGGUGGCAAGCGUUGUUCGGAAUUACUGGGCGUAAAGGGCGCGUAGGCGGCCAAACAAGUCAGAUGUGAAAGCCCCGGGCUCAACUCGGGAAUUGCAUCUGAAACUGUAUGGCUUGAGUUCUGGAGGGGAUGGUGGAAUUCCCAGUGUAGCGGUGAAAUGCGUAGAUAUUGGGAGGAACACCUGCGGCGAAGGCGGCCAUCUGGACAGAAACUGACGCUGAGGCGCGAAAGCUAGGGUAG